GACGAACGCUGGCGGCGUGCUUAACACAUGCAAGUCGAACGGAAAGGCCCUGCUUUUGUGGGGUGCUCGAUUGGCGAACGGGUGAGUAACACGUGAGUAACCUGCCCUUGACUUUGGGAUAACUUCAGGAAACUGGGGCUAAUACCGGAUAGGAGCUCCUGCUGCAUGUUGGGGGUUGGAAAGUUUCGGCGGUUGGGGAUGGACUCGCGGCUUAUCAGCUUGUUGGUGGGGUAGUGGCUUACCAAGGCUUUGACGGGUAGCCGGCCUGAGAGGGUGACCGGCCACAUGGGGACUGAGAUACGGCGCAGACUGCUACGGGAGGCAGCAGUGGGGAAUAUUGCACAAUGGGCGGAAGCCUGAUGCAGCAACGCCGCGUGCGGGAUGACGGCCUUCGGGUUGUAAACCGCUUUCGCCUGUGACGAAGCGUGAGUGACGGUAAUGGGUAAAGAAGCACCGGCUAACUACGUG
rnacentral:rRNA from 1 species